rnacentral:rRNA from 1 species
UCUUGGUCAUUUAGAGGAAGUAAAAGUCGUAACAAGGUUUCCGUAGGUGAACCUGCGGAAGGAUCAUUAACGAGUAAAUAAGGGGAGUUGUCGCUGGCCGCGAGGCAUGUGCACGCUCUCUGCUCAAUCCAACCUUACACCUGUGCAUCCACUGUAGGUCGGAUGGUCUGGUCCUAGCGGAUUGGGCCGUCCUUCCUAUGUUUUUACAAAUACUCCGAGUAACAUGAAUGUCAUCUGCGUCUAACGCAUCUAUACAACUUUCAACAACGGAUCUCUUGGCUCUCGCAUCGAUGAAGAACGCAGCGAAAUGCGAUAAGUAAUGUGAAUUGCAGAAUUCAGUGAAUCAUCGAAUCUUUGAACGCACCUUGCGCUCCUUGGUAUUCCGAGGAGCAUGCCUGUUUGAGUGUCAUGAAAAUCUCAACCCCUUCUGGCUUUGCGGCCGUGAAUGGGCUUGGACUUGGAGGCUUGCUGGCUCUUCGCGAGUCAGCUCCUCUCUAAAAUCAUUAGCUGGAUCUGUUGCGGACCGGCGCUCAGUGUGAUAAUUGUCUACGCUGUCGUCGCGAAGCGUCUUAAAGGAUCCGCUUCCAACUGUCUGUCUUCGGACGACCCUUUGACAUUUUGACCUCAAAUCAGGUAGGACUACCCGCUGAACUUAAGCAUAUCAUA